UCAUCUUGGCAGGGUGCAAUGUGGUGUUCGGGAGGGUCCAUUCGCGCCUUGAGCUCUGGUGUCCAAGUCCCCCUGACCGGGGCCAUCGCCCGUUGAGGGUGCAAGGCCUGUUGGGCAGGGCUGUGUCUCCGAUCUCGGUGCGUUGGGUCCCUUCCUUGGAGUCGGGUUGCUUGAGAGUGCAGCCCAAAGUGGGUGGUAAACUCCACCUAAGGCUAAAUAUUUUCCACGAGACCGAUAGCAAACAAGUACCGUGAGGGAAAGUUGCAAAGAACUUUGAAGAGAGAGUUCAAGAGUGCGUGAAACCGUUCGGAGGUAAACGGGUGGGAGCGCGAAGGUCGAACGGACGGGGAGGGAUUCAACUUGGCGUGGCGGCUGGCCCGGCUCGGUUCGCGUCUGGGCGUGCCGUCCUCUCCCUUCGCGGGGAGGGGUCUCGGUCGUCCCGCGUUCUGCCGCGGCCGUAGUCCGCCGUGCCUUGUGCAUUUCCCUAUUCCCCCUCUCCUAGUAGGACGCCGCGACCGGCUGUCGAGGGGAGCCCAGGAGCUGGUCGGAGCAGUUGCGCGGACGAGCAAGGGAUUAGUUCUCUGCGUCCGGUCUGUCUGUCUCCGAUCGCCCGCGGGUCGCUCCCUCCGGCCGAGGAACUGUGCGAGCUGGGCCCCUUCGGGGGUCCCUCGUCCAUGUGCGUGCCCACGGAUCUGUCGGUGCGGGUCGAAAGAACCCAACGGGUGGCGCCGGGUGGCCGCGCGCCAGUCUCAGGACUGCGCGUGCGGACUCCGCGUGUCAGCCGCCGUCGGUCAGGGUGCGGACUCCCGCAGUUGGGCGCUGGGGGUCGGCGGCGAGUAGGUCGGUUUCCCACCCGACCCGUCUUGAAACACGGACCAAGAAGUCUAACGUGUGGGCGAGUCUUCGGGGACAUUUUGAACCCUUAGAAGGCGAAAUAAAAGUGAAGGCUGGGUCGUUCCGCCUGCGUGUCGCUCCGGCCGCCGCCUCUCUCUCGGGGGAGGUUGGCGUGUCGGGCGCCGUGGCGUGAGCGGCCCGCCCGAGUGGGAUCCCCCGUCUGAUGGCGGGGGCGCACCACC
rnacentral:rRNA from 1 species